UGCCAGCCGCCGCGGUAAUACGAAAGGGGCUAGUCUUAUUCGAAAUUAUUGGGCGUAAAGCGUGCGUAGGCGGACUGUUAAGUCUGAUGUGAAAUCCCGCGGCUCAACCGCGGACGUGCAUUGGAUACUGGCAGUCUUGAGUCCUGGAGAGGAGAGCGGAAUUCCUAGUGUAGAGGUGAAAUUCGUAGAUAUUAGGAGGAACACCAGCGGCGAAAGCGGCUCUCUGGACAGUGACUGACGCUGAGGCACGAAAGCAUAGGUAGCAAACAGGAUUAGAUA
rnacentral:rRNA from 1 species